ensembl:lncRNA
AAAUAAAAUAAAUAUUUAAAAAAAAAAAGUCAGGUCAUUUUCACCAUCUAGCUGAAAUGUCUAAAUACUAAGUAGACUUGACUGGGGGUCCAGAACUGAGGACAGGAGGAGAGGGUUGAAAGAAGAGGACCCAGAAGCAGUGUGGUGGGCAGGGUCAGGGACACAGAGAGACAUAGCUCUGAGGACGGUAAUGGCCUAUGACCUCUCAGAAUAGUGGUAUCUGCCCUUGACUUUAAGUGACCAUAGAGGUGAUCAUGUCCUUCUGUUACUGCAGAAUACUGUGCACUCAACACACUUGUAUGGGUGGAGCUUGGGCAAUGGAAGAGGAAAAGACAAGAAUAAGCAAGAGCAGCAUGAGAAAUGGUGACAAGAUGGCCAGAAGCUGGGAGCAGGAAUAAAAAGCAAAAGCUGGAUAGAACUAAACUCAGAGUGAGAAAACAGUUUCCAUCCAAAGGGGCAGGAGAAGAGCAGAGAGGAGCUCAGCCUCAACUCAGAUUGCCCAUUUCCAAGAAUUUCUUUUUCUGCAAAUGGCCCCAAACUAUUGAAAACAGGGGGGAAAAAAGUACAAAAUUUCUGAUAGUUUAUUAUUAUUAUUUCCAGAAAAUAUAAAACCCAUCUAAGAUUUUUGUGGAUCUAAAUGCAAGAAAAUCACUGACAGAUCACACAUAGGGCAGUAGAGAAUAGGAUAUGUCCUCACCUGGAUCCCUAACUCAGAAGAGUUUGCCUACCCUUCUUCAUGCGACGGUGACCCAUCAGUGCCACUAUCAAAGGUGGGGCAGUGUGAUCAUCAGAGGUCAGGCUCUGCAGCCAAGCUGUCUAGGCUCCAAUUCCAACUCCCCACAACUGUUACUCUCCAUGAGGUCUAAUACAUGUUACUCAAAUCUCUCUGUGCCUCAGAUUUCUCAUCUUUUUUUUUUUUUUUAAUGUUUAUUGAGAGGAGACAGAGAGUAAGCAGGGAGGGGCAGAGAGAGACACAUACACAGAAUCUGAAGCAGGCUCUAGGUUCUGAGCUGUCAGCACUGAGCCUGACACAGGGCUUGAACCCGGGAACCAUGAGGUCAUGACCUGAGCCGAAGUCAGACACUUAACCGACUGAGCCACCCAGGCACCCCAGUUUGUUCAUCUUCAAACUGAUGGUAGCAAUUAGACCAGAGUAACACAUAAAAUAUUACAUGAUCAGUGUGACCUCUUAUGUGCUGGGUAUCACCCUGAAACCAUCAGAUUCUUCAUCUUUCAUCCUAGCAACAGCCCAUUCAGGUAUUACUAUCUCUGUUUUACCUAUGGAAUACUUGUGGCUCAGAAGUAGGUAUUUUUCUCAGUGGGUGUUCUGGAUUUUGAGUCCUAAUAUUUCUGAAUUUAAAAUUCUAUGAAUAUUGUCUCCGUGUCUCUGAAACUCCUGGAAACUGUGCUCCUUUGAGAAUGUGCUAGAGGGAGUCACAUGGCCUGGAUCUAUGGGGCUCCAGACAAAGCUGGGAUAAGCUGGGAUACCCCGAGCUCUUGUCAGCUUCCCAAGACAGAGUUGAUGUUGCUGUAGGCAGCAUGGGUGUAGCGUGGAUAAAUACCCAGGGGCUUGGGAGGCAGAGUGAAAAUAUUUGGAGCCGGCAAGUCUGGUCAAUUAAUAUGUGCUUGUGAGGCAAUUUCAAAGCUGAAGGAUCUUUUGUAAGUGCCAAGUGAUAUUAAUUAUUAGUAUGAGGGCAGGUCCUGCCAGCAGAGUAAGAGGUGCCUGAAUUUAUGUGUAUGCAUAUGAAUCAUCUUCUGGGAUGGUGUGCAUGCCUCUCUAGCUGUGAGGGCAAAAUUCAGUAACUGGGUGCCCUUAGGGAGUGAGGCAAUAAAGCCUGCACCUCUCCUUUGCA